rnacentral:rRNA from 1 species
UCGACGCAUUCUUCGGAAUGAGUGGCGCACGGCUGAGGAACACGUGACUAACCUACCCCGGUGUGGGGGAUAACGGGUCGAAAGACUCGCUAAUCCCGCAUACGAACCGCCUCGGCGGAGGAAAGCCGUAAGGCGCACCGGGCGGGGGUCGCGUCCCAUUAGAUAGUUGGUGUGGUAAUGGCGCACCAAGUCGAUGAUGGGUCUCUGGUCUGAGAGGACGACCAGACAGAUUGGGACUGAGACACGGCCCAAACUCCUACGGGGGGCAGCAGCAAGGAAUUUUCGGCAAUGGGCGCAAGCCUGACCGAGCAACGCCGCGUGGAGGAUGACGGCUCUUGGGUUGUAAACUCCUUUUGGGGGGGACGAUAAUGACGGUACCCUCCGAAUCAGGCCCGGCUAACUACGUGCCAGCAGCCGCGGUAAUACGUAGGGGCCAAGCGUUGUCCGGAAUUACUGGGCGUAAAGCGUGGGUAGGUGGUCGGUGAUGUGCCGCGUGAAAGCGCCGGAGUAAUGCCGGCGAGGUCGCGGUAGACACACGGACUCGAGGCUCGCAGAGGAACGUGGAAUUCCCGGUGUAGUGGUGAAAUGCGUAGAUAUCGGGAGGAACACCAGUGGCGCAAGCGGCGUUCUGGGCGAGACCUGACACUGAGCCACGACGGCGUGGGGAGCAAACAGGAUUAGAUACCCUGGUAGUCCACGCAGUAAACGAUGCAUACCAGGUGUGGGAUGGCGUUCGCGUCGUUCCGUGCCGCAGCUUACGCGAUGAGUAUGCCGCCUGGGGACUACGAGCGCAAGCUUAAAACUCAAAGGAAUUGACGGGGGCCCGCAC